AUGCAAGUCGAGGGGCAGCACAAUGCGUAGCAAUACAAAUGGUGGCGACCGGCGCACGGGUGAGUAACACGUAUGCAACCUACCUAUAAGUGGGGAAUAACCCGGAGAAAUCCGGACUAAUACCGCAUAAUACUUGUUAAUCUGCAUGGAUUACAAGUUAAACAUUUAUGGCUUAUAGAUGGGCAUGCGUAUGAUUAGUUAGUUGGUGAGGUAACGGCUCACCAAGACAUCGAUCAUUAGGGGUUCUGAGAGGAAGGUCCCCCACACUGGUACUGAGACACGGACCAGACUCCUACGGGAGGCAGCAGUGAGGAAUAUUGGUCAAUGGGCGAGAGCCUGAACCAGCCAAGUCGCGUGAAGGAAGACGGUUCUAUGGAUUGUAAACUUCUUUUGUAAGGGAAUAAAGUUCACUACGUGUAGUGUUUUGUAUGUACUUUACGAAUAAGGAUCGGCUAACUCCGUGCCAGCAGCCGCGGUAAUACGGAGGAUCCAAGCGUUAUCCGGAUUUAUUGGGUUUAAAGGGUGCGUAGGCGGACCCAUAAGUCAGUGGUGAAAGUUUGCAGCUUAACUGUAAAAUUGCCGUUGAAACUGUGGGUCUUGAGUGUAAAUAAAGUAGGCGGAAUGUGUUGUGUAGCGGUGAAAUGCUUAGAUAUAACACAGAACACCAAUUGCGAAGGCAGCUUACUGGGAUACAACUGACGCUGAGGCACGAAAGCGUGG
rnacentral:rRNA from 1 species